UCACAUGUCACAUAUCAUAAACAUGUGCUAAAUCAAACUGUUAUCUAACCUCGUUGUGCAAAACAGGUGGAUUUGUCAGAAAAAAACAAGAGCAGAGUGAUACCACUUACAUCAAACAAGAGCAGACUGAUGCCACGUACAUCAAACAAGAGCAGACUCAUACGAGCGGCAUCCAAUCCAACAAGAGCAGACUGAUACCAGUGUCAUCAAACAAGAGCAGACUAUACCAGUGUCAUCAAACAUGUGCAGACUAAUACCAGUGGUAUGACCAGUGAAGUAACUAAGAUGGAAGCAAGCGCGGCCUGAGGAUGAUUCGAGUUCUUAUCCAAGCAAAAGCCCAAGAAUCUAGCCUUUGACGAAGCAUGAUACUUCACCACUCUGAGGGCAACGGUCACCUUCUGUCAAUUUGCAUCUGUAAACACUAACAUCAUCCGGUUUUAGUAUUCCAUGUAAUUAAAUCUCAAAGCACAGUGAUAGUUUCUUCCUCCGGGGGGAAUUUAGCUUUAUACCAUUAUAACAAUGUGCGCCUCCUGAGAUA